ensembl:rRNA 5S_rRNA 5S ribosomal RNA
AUCUACAGCCACACCACCCUGAACGUGUCCAAUCUCAUCAGAUCUCAGAAGCUAAGCAGGGUCGGAGCUGGUUAGUAUUUGGACAGAAGAAUGAUCUCUGGAGAUU